rnacentral:rRNA from 1 species
UACGGAGGGUGCAAGCGUUAUCCGGAUUCACUGGGUUUAAAGGGUGCGUAGGUGGGCAGGUAAGUCAGUGGUGAAAUCUCCGAGCUUAACUCGGAAACUGCCGUUGAUACUAUUUGUCUUGAAUAUUGUGGAGGUAAGCGGAAUAUGUCAUGUAGCGGUGAAAUGCUUAGAUAUGAUAUAGAACACCGAUUGCGAAGGCAGCUAACUAAGCGAUGAUUGACGCUGAGGCACGAAAGCGUGGGGAUCAAACAGG